rnacentral:misc_RNA from 1 species
GAUGAAGAACGUAGUGAAAUGCGAUACGUAAUGUGAAUUGCAGAAUUCAGUGAAUCAUCGAGUCUUUGAACGAACAUUGCGCCCCCUGGUAUUCCGGGGGGCAUGCCUGUCCGAGCGUCAUUGCUGCCCUCAAGCACGGCUUGUGUGUUGGGCCUCCGUCCUCCUCCCGGGGGACGGGCCCGAAAGGCAGCGGCGGCACCGCGUCCGGUCCUCGAGCGUAUGGGGCUUCGUCACCCGCUCUUGUAGGCCCGGCCGGCGCUUGCCGACACAUCAAUCUUUUUUCCAGGUUGACCUCGGAUCAGGUAGGGAUACCCGCUGAACUUAAGCAUAUCAAUAAGCGGAGGA